rnacentral:rRNA from 1 species
UACGUAGGGGGCAAGCGUUGUCCGGAUUCAUUGGGCGUAAAGAGCGUGUAGGCGGCCAGGUAGGUCGGUUGUGAAAACUGGAGGCUCAACCUUCAGAGGUCGACCGAAACCAUCUGGCUAGAGUCCGGGAGAGGAGAGUGGAAUUCCUGGUGUAGCGGUGAAAUGCGCAGAUAUCAGGAAGAACCCCCGUGGCGAAAGCGGCUCUCUGGAACGGUACUUACGCUGAGACGCGAAAGCGUGGGGAGCGAACAGG